ensembl:lncRNA
GUUUGGAGAGCUCAGAUGGCCCUCUCACUCGGCCCUGAGGAAAAGGACACUGUGGCCACGGCUUCUAAUCUCCCAGAGACGCAACUGGUCAUCAACCUGCUCUGUUCUUUGUCCGAUCCACCAAACCACCCUUAAGAGGAAUAAAGGAUCAACAGUUCUCGAGUUGUCCUUUGCGUCCACCGGAGAGAAAGCUCUUUCAAGUUUGGGCAGAGCCGUGGUUAAUCAGGAAAAACACACGAAACUUGACAGUAGUAAGAACUAUAUAUUGUCCUUUUAACUGAAAGACACCACUGCAAUUGCUGAUUAUGGACUGUCUACUUUAAAUGACCGCACAGUCCAGAUCAAAGGAGGCUUAUGAGGAGCAGAUGGGCGGGGCCUGAGCUCUUCAUGCAGAGAUCGCCACUGCCUCGAGGAUCCCCAGAAGUGGUCAAGCAGUUUCAGCCUCCUGUGACAGUAGAAAUUACCAGCAGUCUUGAGUGAACGUUUCCCUGUAUGUGCAAAAAUCUGCCAUCAGUGUUCGGAAAACAUUCCCGUUGGGUAAAGUAGUUCUGUGAUUCCACGCAGGACGGUCCAGAGAAGACCACAGAGUCCUGCCUCGGGGUCCUAGGAGUGGCCAAGUGAGUUCAGCCUGCUGUGAAAAUUGCCAGCGGAAUGAGUUGGAGGACGAUUCAGAGAACACAACAGGCUCCUGCUUCAGGGGCAAGCAGCUUUAGCCUCCUGUGGAAAUUGCCAACUUUGCGAUUUGAGUAACGGGUAAGACUUUUUUUUUUCCCAGUAAUGGUUAUCAUGCAGGCUGUGUGACAGGUCUAGAAAAGUGUUUGCAACUGUACGAUUGCAUAAUGUGUUAACUUGCGGUGCUUCUUGGCUUUGGUUGCAUGUCCUGAACUAUUCUGUUUUA